AGAAAAUUGAAAAAACUAAUAUUCUAAUCAGCCGUUUCAAAAUAAACAACUACACUAGCAAUCAAAGGACAAUUUUGAGUAGGGAUUUCUCUUCAAAAUGCAUUUGAUCAGAGAACGCUAUCGAUCGUUUCAGCCUUUUCUAAUAGAUGAGAUGAUGCAAGGACAGAGAGGAUGGCGAGAACUGGCGUUUCUCGGUGACAAGGGUUCUUGUUAUAAACCUGAUGCUUGGGCUUUUGAGGAAGUAAACAUUUGCUACCUGCGUAUUUUUUCAGUCUCACUUCUUCAGUGUUAUGUACAACUAAGCAAAAGUGAGGUUAGAUGUCUAAGACUUGUGCUUUUGUUAUCACAACAGGGUACUCGUCAUUCUGAUUUCCCUGGACCUAACUCUGGGAUCACAACAUGUGUAGCUGUUAUUAGACACACACAGCUUGUUGUUUCAAAUGAUGGUGACUAACGUUGUGUGAUAUCCAGAAUUAAAGGGUUCAGGUAAAAGUAGAGGUUUAUUAAGCACUUUGAUUAAUACUUCGGCUUUUAAAGUGUGUGUUUUUGUGUGCGUGUAUAAGCGUACAAUCUUUGUAGAGAUCACAAACCAGAUCUUGAAGCUGAGAAAGAAAGGAUACUGAAAUCUGGUUGAGUUAAUGGAAGCUUCAAUCUAGCAAGAGCUAUCGGUAACCUUUCUUCUUCACACAAUGCAACUUGUUUGCAUAACUAAGUUUUUACCAACUGAAAAGCAAAUAUAUAGUUACCGCUAGUCGAGAUAUAAACACUGAAAGUGGGUCUAACGCCUCUUCUCUUUCUCCUGAAACAUCUUCUCUGUGUCACAUCUAAUGAUAUCUUCCUUGUUCUUGCCUGCGAUGGAACUUGGUAAUCAUCUUGUUCUCCAGAAAAGUUCAUUUGUGAUAGUGAUACUGAAGGAAUGAUUGACUUGUUAUGUUGUUGGCCUUAAAGAAGAUAUCAUCAUCAUCAUGUAAACACAAAACAAAGCAAUAUGACAUUUACACAACGUUAUGUUUUGUACAUAGACUGUUCUGCCAAUGCUGUGGAGCUCUAAUUGUAUUAGCUGUGUAACUUGUCAAGCUACAUCAUCUCAUUCUAAAGUUUUCUUCUUCUU